UGGGAUUAGCUAGUUGGUGAGGUAAUGGCUCACCAAGGCGACGAUCCCUAGCUGUUCUGAGAGGAUGAUCAGCCACACUGGGACUGAGACACGGCCCAGACUCCUACGGGAGGCAGCAGUGGGGAAUAUUGCACAAUGGGGGAAACCCUGAUGCAGCCAUGCCGCGUGUGUGAAGAAGGCUUUCGGGUUGUAAAGCACUUUCAGUAGGGAGGAAAGGUGAUGUGUUAAUAGCACAUUGCUGUGACGUUACCUACAGAAGAAGGCCCGGCUAACUCCGUGCCAGCAGCCGCGGUAAUACGGAGGGUCCGAGCGUUAAUUGGAAUUACUGGGCGUAAAGCGUGCGCAGGCGGUUUGUUAAGCCAGAUGUGAAAUCCCCGGGCUCAACCUGGGAAUUGCAUUUGGAACUGGCGAACUAGAGUUUUGUAGAGGGGGG
rnacentral:rRNA from 1 species